CUUAGAUUGAGCCCAGCCCAGGAGGAGAAGUGAGCUGAUGGAAGCAUGGAAGGCCCUGAUAGGUUUAUUCCCCUUGCGAAGUUCUGCUUCCCCCUUCACAUAUCACUGCUGGGAGCCAGCCCAGCCUGCCCACCAGGAAUUUCAUUCCACCAUAGCUCUUAGAGGCCGAGGUGGGAAACCUCAAGAAGAGAGCAGUCCAUGAGGGGUUUUGGAGUAGGGACUCGGAAGAGGGACAAGGAUGGAAAAAAGGCUUAGGGAAG
rnacentral:lncRNA from 1 species